rnacentral:rRNA from 1 species
UCUGACCAGCCAAGUCGCGUGAAGGAAGAAGGUUCUAUGGAUUGUAAACUUCUUUUGUAAGGGAAUAAAACAGGCCACGUGUGGCUUCUUGUAUGUACUUUACGAAUAAGGAUCGGCUAACUCCGUGCCAGCAGCCGCGGUAAUACGGAGGAUCCGAGCGUUAUCCGGAUUUAUUGGGUUUAAAGGGUGCGUAGGCGGACCUGUAAGUCAGUGGUGAAAGUUUGCGGCUCAACCGUAAAAUUGCCAUUGAAACUAUCGGUCUUGAGUGUAAAUGAGGUAGGCGGAAUGUGUUGUGUAGCGGUGAAAUGCUUAGAUAUAACACAGAACACCAAUUGCGAAGGCAGCUUACUAGAAUACAACUGACGCUGAGGCACGAAAGCGUGGGGAUCAAACAGGAUUAGAUACCCUGGUAGUCCACGCAGUAAACGAUGAAUACUAGCUGUAUGCGAUAUACUGUAUGUGGCAAAGCGAAAGCGUUA